AUCAAUGGCUCUUUGAAAAAAAAAUUUGCUCGGUAAAAUUUGAAACUCUUAAGCCUAAAGGUAUCUAGCUCUAAAUCUUUUUUUUACUCGAGGACGAGCAAAGUUCAAGUUUGGGGGUGUGAUAAUUGUAUUAAAAAUAACAUAAGUAUUAACACAUGUGCUGUUCAAUCUCUUUUAUUUUGUAUUUGAUACUUAUACUUGUUUUCAAAAAUUAUAAAUUAUAAAGAUUCAUUCAUAAAACAACCAGAAUAAGGCCUCAAUAUUUGCAGUAAACAAGCCUAAAAUAAAGUUGAAACCCAAACCCGCAGCCCAACCUCGUCGGAUGCAUGUUUGCGCACGCACAGAGAUAGACCCACAUGAGAAAGCUAUGUGUGCGUGGACUCAUGAACAUUUAUGGUGCAAAAGGCUGUACGAGGGAAGACCAAAAAAAGUUUUCACAUGGCUCACAGGUAUCCCCCCUCCACAUGGUCCAUGGUGGACCAAAGGCAAAGAGUGGUUCAUGGUGGACCGCAUGGAAGAUAAAAGGAUGGGUUCUGGAGCUUCACGUGGAAAGAAGGCUGAGAGUGGCAUGAGGAUUUAAACAAUGCUGGGUGGCUAUCUUUUUUUAUUUGGUCCACUUGAGCGGCAUGAAGGCUGCGCGCGGAAAGGAAAUGGGCUUGCGGCUAGAUCAAUGGACACGGACACGCGGAAGAGGAAAGAAAAGCUACUUACGCGAUAAAAAAAAUGGAGAUGCGGCAAGAUCCAUAGGCACAAUCUUUCACACGAUAUACGAUGUGGAUGUUUGGUGACGGAAUAGGAG
rnacentral:lncRNA from 1 species